ensembl:lncRNA
AUCCACUCCUGCCCUGUCCCAGAAAUUCUGUUCAUGGUAGCUUUUGUUGUGUUGCUAGUUAAAUGAGGAACCACAAAUAUUAGACUUUUGUUUCUUUCAUUGUGUUCUUUUGGGGCCUUGUAUGGCUGGUGUUCCUGACACUUAUGGAAACCUUUUAGCUAUGGCUUAUCAGGUAGAAGUAAAAAAGGGAACUAUUACAUUGCUUUGCUAUUCAGGUCUUUUGUGUGUGUAAUUCGUGUGAAUUUGAUCCUUAUGGUUCUCAACGUAAUCUACAUUCCUUCCUGUUGUCCCUGCUUGGAAACCGUUUCCACAGAGGUUCGAUGUGAAAGAGAAUCCAUUUGAUCUCUUGCCUCCACCCAGCAACCCUGAUUUCAUCUGACCUCAGGCUGCACCAUGUCUGCCCCAUCCACUGGCACAUUGGCUGCUGGAGGACUUGUUUGCAUCUGAAUCUGAAUUUGCGUCUGAAAAGCAGUGGAAGUUGGCACCGAAUCUUGGCCCUGGGCAGAGGAACAAAGGCAGAGAGGAAGAUAAAAGGAGCCGUGAGGGCAGGCUGUGCUGGGGGGCCACCCCGUGCUCUGUGCUCUCUCAGGCUGGCACAGCGCAUCGGUUCUGUGGGCACCAGCAUGGCAUGCUUCUGCCACCUGCUGGCGGCUGGAUAAUCCUGUUUCUGCAGUGGUCAUGCUUGAUGGCUUAAAGUGUGUAUACGUGAAAUGUGUUUUGUGUGUGUGUGUAGUGGGUAGUGGCCUCACUUGAAAAGCAGUCCACGUACAUUCUUGCCCCUUUUGUUCAGCAGCACAUGGAUACACAACCCCCUACAGGGAACGACAUCAAGAGCUGAGGAGAGACUAAAUGCAAUUAAACACCAAUGAGGGAAAAUAAUGGUGUACCAAAGCAAAAGCUUUAAUCGGUACCUUUGUGUACCUUUCCUGGGAGUCUAAUGGUAAUCUGUUUGUUCUGUUCUCUACAGUUCAUUAGGCAAACAUUUAGCCCGUUGCACUUAGCAAGAACCACACCACGGUAAGUGAUCUCAUGCAGACAGACCAGCUAUUAUGAGUAAUUUCAUGGAAUCAUAACAAACAGGGCUAAACCAGGAGUACACGUGAUUUUAGACUCCUGUGGUUUGGGUCACCAUUCAAGCUGCUCUAUUCUCGCCCUCACUGGGUUCACUUGAAGGUGUCAGACUAGCAUCCUUGGUGAAGGUAAAUACCCCUCCCCUGGAAAGGGACAUAAUACUCUGCUUUGUUUUUAAACUAAGUGGAUUUGAGCUCUUUGUUUGGCAGGGGUUCACUGUGACCUCCUUAGGUCUGGUGAUAUAGCCAACCUGGAGGGGAAGUGUUUGACCAUGCAUGGGCAGCCACCAAGCACACGGUUGGGUUAAUGGCACCCAGGCCAAAGCCAUAUGGUCUCAUGCAAGAGGGGGCUUGCUGCUUAAAUUAGUCCAUUGGGAUGUGAAAGUCAGAGUCAUAGUUCUUCGGUGGCUAUCGAUGGGAAAGCAAUAAAUCAAACCAACUGCCGAUGAACUGCUGCAUGUAUGUAACAUGAUGCCUACGUGGCCAUCAAUAUCUAGUCCAGAAAUGUGGUGACUAACUGCACAGAAGAACCAACACAGACCGCUCUUGGGAACAUGACCACACAUGCUGCAGCAAGGCUAUUCUCAGCUCCCUGCGAGGCCGUCUCCACUGGCUGCGUCGCUGUGUCUAUUGUGUGUAGCGAAGGGCACACGGCAUGGAGUACAAUGGUACACACAGAGGAGACGCACAACAACGAACGGGUGCGAUGGCAUCACUCUCACGUGUACCUCCUCAGCGUCCUCACUGUCAGACACCACGGGUGCCCAAGACCGCUCGGCUCAGCAGCUCGUCGCGCAGAAAAGAACCAUUGUCCCCAUGGUUCUCUCAUCCUCUUAGCUCAUCAGCACAAGGUUGAGAGGUACCAGACAGAGAUCUAUGGCUAACGACAGGAGUAAAGCAGGAGUAGCUGCACUUUAGUUUUCACUAGGAGCUCUGUGCAUCUUCAAUCCCAGCUGUACUGAAAGGCAGAGGACGAACUGAGCUGAGCUGGAAUCCACAAGUCUGGGAGCAGACGAUUCAACUUGACAGAACUUGGAGACGCAAGGACACGCCAGCAUCUCAAGAGUGAGAACUCUCAACAUCCACUGAUCAAGGAGAUAAGCAUGUCAAGAGAGAGAGAUGGCAACUCUGUUUAUGAACCCAUAUCCCAGUGUGUCAGGGUUACAUAAUCCAACGACCCCCCUCCCCAUAGAAAGCAGGUGGAGGUUGGAAACAGGGGGUCCCAAGGGUCAUCGAUUGUUCUCUGGCUCCUGUAUGGUCGAGAUGAGGACUUACUGGGAGAGCCCCGAAACCUGAGCCUGUCUCCGAGGGGCAUUGGACGGCUGCCAUGCAACCUCUCAGCAACUCUCUGCACCUCGUCAGCCACUUCACACAUGCACACGCUGCCCACGGCUCUGGCAACACUACCUCUAGCCUCCCCUGCGGUGGACCCCUCUCGCUGUGCAACGUCUCAUUAGCGUGAGUACAAUUAUGUAAUGCCAUCAGUCUUUGUCACAUCCCUCGCUGAGUGACCCCGGCCAGGCGGCGACAACGACAACAACAACAACAAACCCGCCAUCAGCCAGAACAGAUCUGUGUGUGAGGAGGUGAGGAGAGACACAGAGGCGCAAAGCAACGGGACUACAAGAAUGGCAUGUAGACAUAAUUUAAAGGGUGGGAGAGGUUGGAUGUCAGCCCAGGUUUCUAAGGUGGGCGGAUGUUGGAGGGAAGGAGGAGAGAGCACUGACUAAUAUAGUAUCAGUGGCCUUUGGCCUGUGCAGUCACAGACAUUUUGACAGGUUACUGACACAGAUGCAAGUCCUUGCUCAAAGACUGCCCGGAUGGAAAAGAGGCGGUUUUAAUUCAUCAGGAACUUAAAUGGAGACCUGCUUCUGCGCCCUCAGCAGUCUGUAGUCAUGAUGAUGGAUCACCUUAGCUUACACACACACACACACACACACACACACAGCCUAAGCAGAUGACGAGAACCACCUUGUAGUGGGAUCUCAUGCCUGGUAACUCUGAUAUCAGCGCACAUCUGACUCAUUUCAAUGCUCUUUAGCUGUCAACAGGCUGACAGAUGUUUUUACAGACACCACACAAAUGAACAUGGCAUUCAAAUAUAUAAAGAGUUGGUGCUGGUGUCAAGAAAGUUACUUUAGGUGGAUAGCUGAGAUUCCUCUCUAAACUUGAAUGUUUUCUAAAUAUUUCAUUUUUAACUACCAAGAGUAAGGCUUAAAUGUAGAGUUGCAGUGAUGCAGUGAAAUUGCAUUGCAUUGCAUUACAGUGUCAAUUAUCAGUACGUUGUAAAGUUAAAGUGGCAGAGCAGACAUAGACAUCAUGCAUCAUUAGUUGGAUUGUGAGACCCGAGAACAACACACUCAAAUCUUUUGUGUGGGUCCCUGUCCUCCGAUUGUGUUUUAUCUGUGAAAUGUUAUCUCUUAUGUCAAAGUCUGAACAUCCACGCUCCAUGUGUGAUGUAUCACCGCUACAGAACAGGUAGUACAGAAUGAUUGAGGUCUAGCAGUCUUACUCCUUCUCUUUCCUGUAUUCUCUCACUCUCUCUCUCUCUGUCUGUCUGUCACUUACACACUCUUUCCAUCUCUUAAGAGGUCAGACAGUAGGAAUGGAGACUUAUCUUGGAAUGAAACUCUCUCAAUGCAGUCUACACAUUUACACGUUCUGUGACUCCAUUUGUCUAGCUGCACUCUUUGACAGAACCAAAGAUGGACAGUUCACUUCACUUGGUCCCCGGGCGCUACAAGCCGCCCACUGCUCCUGGGGGGUCCUUGAGGAAGGACAGUCCAGGAUGGGAAAAAGCAGAAAAUAAAUUCACCGCGACCUCAGGCUUACCUGCGUGUGUGUGUGUGUGUCCUGUGUCGCCUCCAUAUAUGCACGUGUGUGUUCCAGUGUGUCGUGUGUGCCAUUAAAAACCUGACAAAGGUCUUAAAUUAUUUAUUUUUUAUUUGCUAGACCAAAUGAGGGCUGCAUGCUGCCUCUACGCACAGCAGGAAAACACAAUAAACAGAUGGUCAAGUUAACUAAUCUCUCAGUGUCUGUAGCAACUUCAAAAUCACCUGCUUAUUAAAACCCUGAAAGACAGGACAUCCUAAAGUAAUAUAAGAUUUCCUUGCAAAAGGCUCUCUCCCUAAGUGAUGUGUUAAUUUGACUGGUUGCCAUUAUUACAAGCAAAUUGGGUUGUAGAAAGCAGGUCAGUUAUGUAUGUGUCUGAUGUGUAUUUAUUCCAGUAAACUAUUUACCAUUCAUUUAAUGUGCUGUUAGUUGACUGUUCGUCAAAAUGUCUCCUGUCGUUUGUGCUUAAUGUGAUGCUCUGGUGAGCGUGUUUGUGCUCAGCACAUGGAGAGGCAGUCGAUGGGAGUCUGUCAGCGUGUUUACGAGAGACUGCAGCUCUGUGCCUGUGUACUUGCCAUCCCCACGGGUGAUCAACAUUGUGUGCUCCCUGGAAAGAACCUGGGGAACUCAUUAUGCAAACUUCUGGGGAUUUGAUCAAACAAAGAGGGCUCAAACUGUGGAGCGAUAAUAAGCCAGCAGCAAUGUUAUUACAGAUGCUCAGAACACUCAUGCAUUUUGCAAAUAUUUUCUACCAGGUCAUUUGCAUGGGGUUCCCAUUGAAGGUUUGAUCCAGAAAUGUUUGUUUAUAUUCAUGGCUGUCACAUGAAAGACUGGCAGUGGGAGGGACUGUGUAUGUAUCUUUGCAUGUGAAGACUGGUGCAAAGACACAAUGGACACACUGUGCUGUGAUCAUGAAAAUGAAAAAUAAGCUCAUGCCAAAUUAUAUUCUUACACUAGGUUUAUCAGUACAAGUAUCUCUUCAUCAAUCUAUGACAGAUAACUGAUACAGAGUUAAGUUUCCCUUAAUUGAGAGUGGCCACUCAAGACUAUAACUAAAUGAACACGGAUAAAUAUGCAUUGUGUGUUUAUACCUUGUGCUAAACAAAGUCGUCGUCAAUGACGUCAGUGAGGAAGAAUAGGUAAUUUGGUGUUCUUCAUAUAACAUAAUUUUAUCGCAUCAUGCUUCCCAUUAAUGUAUUAUUUACUUUGAAAUGCACAACCUCUGCACCAAUGCACAACUUGCACAAUUGACCACAAUUACGUAGCCUACAGUUAUUUAAUUUGUCCUUAUUUAUACUAACAGCUCAUGUUGUGUUUGCCUGUUAUUCGUGUAAUUUUAGAAGUAGGAUACCGCAGCGUCCAGCAGCUCUGGAGAAACUGUCCCGUCCGUUUCGCACGCAGCAAAUCCUGUUACCCACUGAAUACAAAUUCUCCACAGUGACGUAGGUCCUGCGUCGGAGGGAGGAGAGCGAGCAGGUCGAAGAUGAAUCAUAGCUUACCAAUUCACCUUCAGGCUACUCUAUUGAGUGUCCCGUAGAAAGUGUGUCGACUUUAAAGAGUACAUUUAGUGAACUGCAUUUAUUUAUAUGCCUUAUGACAUAUUCAAUAGCCUUGCAAAAACCACACCCGGCAUGAAAUCUAGCCUACUCCCUCUCUCAAUUUUACCCAAUGCCCACCACGCACAUCUUUUUUAGCCUGGAUAAAACGUGUGGGACAGUUCAUUACGCAUGCUGUUAAUGCAGCACAAGAUGCUAAUAAUAAACAUAAUCCGAACUAUAGCGUUGCAAUUAUAGAGCUGCCCACAAAAAAAAGCAAAUCGUCGCUGCAUUGCAUCAAAGUAAAUGUAACUGUUGUGCAAUAAAGGUACACGUUAAGCCAUAUUUAACUAACAUGGAGAACUGCCAGCUCACAUCACGGUUUUCCCUAUAUGGGGCCUACUUAAAACGUUUGAUCUUUUGAUCUUUUGAAAGAGAGGGAGACCAAUGAGGAAGCUUACUGCAUGUAGGUUAAGAUUCCUCUCUGUUCGCACUUCUGCUCGUUAAAUUGUAAACUACAAGCUCGUGCGUGGCUGGUACCGUUCGCGUUUAUUAAAAUACAGCGCAAUUAUUU